GAAACCAUAGCACUAAUCAUUAAUAGUUUUAGCUUAGCUCAAGCCCAACAGAUCAGAUUAACCUUUCUGGAAAUUCACAAAUGUUUCUUGGCUAUGAAGCCUUGUCCUUGGGAGUUGCAAAAAAGAAAGAAAGCCAAUGGCUGAAACUGUUCAGCUACAAAUUGCGGUCCAUUGUCACUCACCAGAUGUUCAGGAGCACCUUACAAAGAGGUCUCGAAAUACCUCUAUGCCGUUUUGGGUUGCUGUGUAGACCUGUGACAGUGUCGGGGUCUCUCCUAGUUUCUCUUUGUAUCAUCUCUGCUGUGAUGGACUCUCACUCUCAGUGAGAGAAAACAUAUCAAAAGAAUCUCCAUCUGAUGCGUAUUCCUCGGAUUUUUGAUCCUCUAGACUAGAGUGUGCCAAUGCCAGCUUGGAAACAGGUGCAACAGCAUCCAACACCUUUUUCAGCUUACUUUCAGUCGACUCCAACAUAGGGAGUGUGGUGUGCAGACUGUUGAUGGCACUCCAAUCCAGCUGCAGCUUCCUCAGCCAAUCACGAUCCCAGAGUGCUGGUCCACCUGUUUUCAGAACAUAGAUGAAGUUAGGCCUAGAGCUUUAAUGUUUUUAUCCUCGUUGUCAGUGUGAAGUCCUCCUGCUGCCCUUUAGCCAAAAAAGACACCGGACUCAGAGUUUUCUGCUGCCAGCAUUUUCUUGACUGAACAUUCUAGAACAAGAAGAAAGAACAGGAAGAAAAACCCCACAGGGAGCAUGCCCGCAUGUGUUUCCCAAGCAGCCCUAAAUAAUCACUGGCAGAACAAUAAAGACAUACUCAAACCAUCACAGUCAUAAUAACACUGACCCGAUACACUACAACACCCAUCACCUGUCAUUGGAGAACAGCCAUAGCCAGAGCUUGGAAAAGUUACUUUUUUGAACUACAACUCCCAUCAGCCACAGCCAGCAUGACCACUGGAUUGGGCUGAUGGGAGUUGUAGUUCAAAAAAGUAACUUUUCCAAGCUAAGUGGUAGAGUAUCUGCCUUACAUGCAGAAGGUCCCAGGUUUAAUCCCCAGCAUCUCCAGAUUGGACAGAGAGAGACUCCCUGACAGAAACCGCAGAGAACUGCUACUACAGUCAACGUAGACCAGGGUUCCCAAACUUGUUUUUCCCAUGGCCCACUUGAAAAUUGCUGAGGGUCUUGGCGAACCACUUCAUGAUAUUUCUGCUUGCUGUAGCAAUUGUAUUUUAUUGUAUUAUAAUUUGAAUUUCGUAGGAUACAAUGUAGGAUACAAAAAUAAAAUGCUAUAUAAGCAAUAAAAGAAGCAACAGAAAUUCCAUUCAGAAUCAAUAUAAUUAUUUAAAGUGCAGCACCUGUUGUCCACAGCUGUGGCCGCCACUCUUCUUCACAGACAAGCUGUGAACCACCUGAAUGAUGCUCUGUCAGACCCCUACUCUGAAUCUGGUCUCAUAAGGGAUCUCUCGCACUGGCCCCAGCGCAGGUCUCUCACAAUCCCACUACUAGGUGCUACCACCUGACGCUCUGUAACAUAAUACUGCCCUGAGACUGUGCCUUAGUCUCCUCCUCAGAUUGCUACGUAGUGUCUGGGUGCACUUAGAGGCCACAACCCCCGUGUAUCUUUCUGCCUUUAAAGAUUACAGCCCUGGGUUGCUUUGGAUACCUGCUGCUGUUACACUAUCCCUUCACCGCUGCCACCAUUCAUACUGUUCCCAGCUUUGGUAUUCGUUCUGCCCACCCUUCUGGUCUGUAAUAUCCCAGCCAAGGAUCAGGUGCGCUGUUAAACCAAAACUAUUUAUUUAAUAAAACAAGGAAUA